rnacentral:lncRNA from 1 species
AAAGGAAGGCAGAAUUGCCACAAGGAAACACCUUUAGAAAAACAAUAACAAAACAAAACAAAACAACAACAACAAAACAAAAACAAAACAAACAAACAAAAAAAAAACAGGAGAGAGCUCUGCAAGUUUAGCUGCCACAACAAGAAACUUAAAAGAGAGAAGGGUACUAGAGGUAGACUGAAUAGCAUCAAAAUAUCCAUAAAAAGCUUCUUCUUUACAGCUGAGAAGUGUAAGGAAAGGUGUGAUGCAGGGAUGCUGGGUUUCUGCAUGACACAUUCAGUCUCCUACCAGUUCAAGAAAAUCUUGGGUGCACCAGAGAACAAUUCGUGACACCGUUCCUUAGAACAGCCCCAAGCUGAAGAGAUCUUCCCCAAGGAACACAACAGCCACUGCUGUCACAGGGAAAACAAUAUAGCACCGAAGCUGUAUCAUCUUCACUCUCUGUGCCUGAGUGCUGUGCCAGAUCUCAGUCUGUUCCUAUAGAUACAAAGGAUCAGAAAUUGGAAACGCUUCAGAAAAAGAAAAGAUCAGUCGCAGCAGCACCGAUUUCCUGUUCUCAUGCAGAUGUCUAUGUACAAGGUCACACUCUGCACAUUGACUUCGCUUGGAUCACAACGUGGGCACAGCCUGACGCAGCAGUGAAGCUGCAGGGAUGGCAAGCUGCCGCUGUAGGCAGCCCCUCCAUCCCUUGCCCCCAGCUAUGUGGUCUUGCUGUUUCCCAUAUGACAGUGUUUGUGCUUGUCUGAGCCUUCCAUGAGCCAGCCAGGAGACUGAGAGCAGCUUAAAAAUUACCUCUAGAAGAAAAAGAAAUCAAUGGGUGCUUUUCAGCAAACACAAGCAAAUGUCACAGAGGAAGGGAAGACUGCAGAAGAAAGACUUCAUGUAUGUAGCAGAAGAAGAUGACUAUGGAGGUAACCAACCUGCUAUUCGGGUCACACAUAGUGGCUGUGACAGGAAAAAUCCUGUCAGAGAUAAGCAGAAAGUACCACAGCUGAGGAAGGCCAUGAGCCGUAGGGACUCAGAGUAAAUUUCUCCUGUCCAGGACUCUAAAUUGACAGAAAGGAACAACAGGGCCCACAUGGCUUGUUAGGAUGAGAGGUGGGCAAAGGCUUAUGUGCUGGGAUCUGGUGUCUCAUGAGGUAGUGUGUGUCAGUAACUUCAUGUACAGACAUCUACCUCACACUCCAUGUGCUCUAAUACGCUGCUGUAGGGGCCUCAGCAUGGUGUAGCUCCUACAUUGCUUUCUUCACGUGAACCUCCCAGGUGGACAGGCUGUCCUGUGCAGAGGCAGAAGCGACACGCAAACAUCACAAGACAAGCAGAGCUGGCAUCACUCCACUUGCAAGGUUACCUUGGUUUCGUGUGCGACACAGAAGUCACAGCUAAGAAAAGCCCCAUUAUACGUCCUUGAUAGCAUGAUUGUAAUGGCACCGGGACAAAGAAAAUGAUGAGCUGGAUCCCAAGAGAAGAAACGUGCAGGCUGAAGCUUCAAGUGGUGCAGAUAAAAAUCGCUCCUUUCAACUGAAGCACAAACUCCUGGUCCUGCCUACAGUACGCCUAAGGCAAGUGGUUCAUAGCAGACACACCGGCGAGGUGAACAGCCAACCCAGAGCAGACAAUGGAUUGCUGCUGCAUUGCAGGAAAGGGGUAGUAUGAGGAGAUGUUUCAUAUAAAUCCCUCUCUAUAGCACCUGCGUCAAAUUGCUCAGAAAACAGGGGGAGAGAACAAUAAAUCAAUAAGAGGCAGGAGAUAAGGUCA